AGUGAAUAUAGUUUAUUAAAAUUCUAGCCUGUGACCCUAGAGAUGGAAACUAACUAUUUUCUAUUCAC
rnacentral:tRNA from 1 species